AGCAAUAAUAGUGAAAAAAAUCGUCAGAGGCGGCCUGGCCAUGGCCCAGGCGAGGCAAUUAAUAUCCAAAAUAAAUAAAACUACAAUGGAUCAUAGUGUUUCGCGGCCAGCAGCUAUCAAGAUGCUUCAACCCGAGUCACCGAAAAAUUCCGGUAGUACGUUCCGGACCCCCUGGCUGCCCAAGCAACCAAAAGUCGCAUACUAACUUAAACACGGGAUUCUGAAGUUCACAUUUGGUUGCAAAAAGGUUUUAUGGGACUUCCAAGGAACUCAUAUUACUUAAAAGUUACUCAGGUACUUCCAUCGCCUUUUAAAGGGCUAAAGGAUUAAAAAUAGUACUUCAAAGGACCUUUUAUGCGACAUCUUCUUAAAGGCAAUCAUAGGGUGUGCUAUGCUCUUCCUAACGAACCAAUAAGUUAACAUCUGGAAUCUUUAGGAGAAUUCCAAGCGACAUGUCAAAUAUUUCUGACAUUUCUGUCAUUUUUUUUUUGGAUUGUUUACAUCUGCAGAACAUUCAAUGCAAUUCGAUAAUUCAGAGUUUGUGCUAGCCAGGAGAGUGAGUUCCACCACCAGGAGGGAAAAUUACUUAAGAGCCCUUGGCGAGCAUUAACUGGACCUGGAUCAACCGGAGAUCAACUGUACCUAUUUAGGAAAUUUUUGAAUCGUCAUGGAUAUUAUAAAAACCAGGCAGUUCCGCCUGGGCGAGGCUAAAUUGUUACUCGUCAUCAACCAGUUUCCCGUCUGCGAAAUCGGAAAUCCUUAUGGUCAAGACCGGUGGCCUUAAGACUCCCAGCCAGCUCUUAUUCGGAUCAUCAUCGCAAAAAUUGUCCACCGAAAUUCCAAGAGAACCUUUAAUCCAAUCAAAGUCAACAUCAUAGACCGGGGAAAAUCCUACGGCAAGUGUUUUAUUCCGUGUUAGUAAAUAUCCGUUCAAUUAACCAUGCCGGCGAUUUGUACACAUCCACAUCGUUUUGGAAGCCCGAGCCGCUGGACAAAUCAAUGGUUUGCGAUUUUUUUUAAAUUUCAAAUGUGUAAAUUGUAUUGGUGUUAAAAAUCGUGCGAUUGAAAAAACCAAAUGAAUAAAAAUUACGAUGAGAAA